GUAUAGCUCAAUCCACAUCCUAAGCAACAGAAAAGGCUAGAAGAGAGGCAAACAUGCUGGCUAACCUGCUCACCGUCCUCCAAAACUUCACGGAAAGUAAUUUCCAAUCGUCUGCCAUGUUUGAGGGGUCUGAGUCCGCGGACACACAGGAAGUCAAAUCUGAGAGCACCCUUGGGCCCUCUGUCUCCGCCUGCAGGAAGGUUUUGUGCAGUAACAGUGUUCUGGAUUCGUCGGAGUACUGGCUGAAGAACGAUAAGGCGCUCUGCAGAACGGGGUUCCUGGAGGACCAGCAGGACGGCGGCUGCCCUACAGUGAGUCUCUCUCAGAAGUGCUCUGUCCAUACGUUUGAUUAA
rnacentral:lncRNA from 1 species